ACGGCUCAGUAACACGUGAUCAACUUACCCUAUAGAGAAAAAUAACCUCGGGAAACUGAGGAUAAUGUUUCAUAAUUGAAUUGGCUUGGAAAAGUUUUUCAAUGAAAAGGAUAAAAAUAAUGGUUUUUAUCUGCUAUAGGAUAGGAUCGUGUUCGAUUAUGGUUGUUGGUGAGAUAAUGGCUCACCAAGCCGAUAAUCGAUAGGGGCCGUGAGAGCGGGAGCCCCGAGAUGGGUACUGAGACAACGACCCAGGCCUUACGAGGCGCAGCAGGCGCGGAACCUCCGCAAUACACGAAAGUGUGACGGGGUUACCCAAAGUGUUCAAUAGAACUGUGGUAGGUGAGUAAUGUCCCCUACUAGAAAGGAGAGGGCAAGGCUGGUGCCAGCCGCCGCGGUAAAACCAGCUCUUCAAGUGGUCGGGAUAAUUAUUGGGCUUAAAGUGUCCGUAGCCGGUUUAGUAAGUUCCUGGUAAAAUCGGGUAGCUUAACUAUCUGCAUGCUAGGAAUACUGCUAUACUAGAGGGCGGGAGAGGUCUGAGGUACUACAGGGGUAGGGGUGAAAUCUUAUAAUCCUUGUAGGACCACCAGUGGCGAAGGCGUCAGACUGGAACGCGCCUGACGGUGAGGGACGAAAGCCAGGGGAGCGAACCGGAUUAGAUACCCGGGUAGUCCUGGCCGUAAACGAUGCAUACUAGGUGAUGGUACGGCCAUGAGCCGUAUCAGUGCCGUAGGGAAACCGCUAAGUGUGCCGCCUGGGAAGUACGGUCGCAAGGCUAAAACUUAAAGGAAUUGGCGGGGGAGCACCACAAGGGGUGAAGCCUGCGGUUCAAUUGGAGUCAACGCCGGG
rnacentral:rRNA from 1 species